rnacentral:rRNA from 1 species
AUUGAACGCUGGCGGAAUGCUUUACACAUGCAAGUCGAGCGGCAGCGCGGGGCAACCUGGCGGCGAGCGGCGGACGGGUGAGUAAUGCAUCGGAACGUGUCCAUGUCGUGGGGGAUAGCCCGGCGAAAGCCGGAUUAAUACCGCAUACGCCCGAGAGGGGAAAGUGGGGGACCGCAAGGCCUCACGCGAUUGGGUCGGCCGAUGUCCGAUUAGCUAGUUGGCGGGGUAAAGGCCCACCAAGGCGAUGAUCGGUAGCUGGUCUGAGAGGAUGAUCAGCCACACUGGGACUGAGACACGGCCCAGACUCCUACGGGAGGCAGCAGUGGGGAAUUUUGGACAAUGGGGGCAACCCUGAUCCAGCCAUUCCGCGUGAGUGAAGAAGGCCUUCGGGUUGUAAAGCUCUUUUGUCCGGAACGAAACGGAUGACGUGAAUAUCGUCGUCUACUGACGGUACCGGAAGAAUAAGCACCGGCUAACUACGUGCCAGCCGCCGCGGUAA